GAUAGUGGGAGGUGUCCCUGCCCAUGGCAGGGGUGUUGGACUAAAAUGAUCCUUAAGGUCCCUUCCAACCCCAACCAUUCCAUGAUUCUGUGUUUCUAUGAAAUUAUUUGAUAAUUAUUGUGGUGUUUAAUGUGUGCAGGAAACACAGAGCCUGUCCCUGUAGUAACUUUUGGAUUUGACCCAUUUCAACCACAUUUUUCAGUGUAGAUUUUUGCUUGCAGAGUCCAUGAAAACAGAGGAGAGAGAAAAACCUGUUCCAGUCCCCAGGGAGUAAAAGCUGACACAUUGUGUCAGAGAGUCCACAAGUGAGUUCACCAGGAGACACCAAUUAUUCCAGCUGACAAGGUGGUGAUUGUUCAAAGGUUGGACUGGAUGAUCUUGAAGGUCUUUUCCAACCUAAAUGACUCUGUGAUUAUUUUUCACUGAGCUCCAUCACCCCUCUGCUCACAACCCUGGCCAUCCCUGAGGACAUUCCUCUUUUCCAAGUAAGUCUUUGGCAGAACUGAUGCCAUAAUCUGAGUCCAGGGCUCCGGUUUUCCUCCUGCAGCUGCUGAUCCCAGCUCAGAUGGCACAACGGGACGGGGUGGGAUAGAUCUGCACGUGUUCCGUGGAUCUGUGGGAGCUCCCGGUGUCUCCUGGUUACAGAGAUUUUGUUCGAUUGUGUUGGUUUAACUCAGUGGGAGGUUGUUUGAGAAGGAAAUGAAAGGCUCAAUGAACAGGGAAUGCUUGAAGAGGUGUUAAGAGGAAAUUCCAGGCAUCUGAGCUUUAGGUUCUUUUGUUUUAAGGGGGUUUUUUUGCUGUCUUUUCAGCCAGGUGGGUUUUGAGCAGUUCUGUGUCAGUGCUCUGUGUCAGGAUGUUGGGGACAACUCCUUCUGCAGACAGAAAUAAGUGGGAAGCCUGAUCCUCUCAGGUGAAAAAACAAGAGGUUUUGUCCCUUUAGAUAAUAUUUUUGUGUCUUUAACUCUUAUUUAUAUUGAUUACCUGAACAUUGGCACUAUUUUGAAUUUAUUUUCCUAGAAAGGAGUAUUUAUAUGGGAAGAAAAUCUGAUUGUAUAAACGAGUGAGUCUGAAGCAGUGCAGGAAAAGAGGACCAAGACUGGCUGUGCUAAAAGACAAACUUUCCUCACUGUUAGAAGUGAUCAUGACAAUUAUAUCAGAAGCCUGAUAGCAGUGAGGUGAUGAGAGGGAGAUUUGAUUACUGAAACAAGUGAAAUUUCCACAGCAUUAUCUGCCCAAAACUUCAUUCUGAGGCAGUGGAAUUCUUAUUAGACAACUGUGAUUUUCCCCAUUUUCCCAUAGACACACAGUCUUAUUACUAUUAAGGCCAAGGAGGUGCAAUAAUAUCUCACUUCCUGUAAUUUCUGUCCAAGUUACAUCAAAGCAUCUGCUUCCAACACCCUUAAUAAUUCUGGCUGCUGGUUUUUGCAUACUUGGGAUCAAUAUACUGGGAAUAGUGUGAGAAUGGAGAGCUCCACUUUGCUUUAAAAGAUUUGAAAACUGAUCCCCACCACGUUGUGGCAGAGGCUGAAAGUGGAAGGCUUUGUGAGAGGAGGUGUUAAGACUGAGUGUUGACAUCUUCCUCCAGAUUUUAUGCAGUUCAAAAACGAUCCCUUCUUAAUUAUCCCUUUGAUUUAUUCAGCUUUCCCGAAGUUUUUUUCCCAUUAGUGAAAGGUGGCUGCAUGUGCCUGUCUCCUGUUCUGAGCAGGAUGCUGUGUUACUCUUACAUCCUUCUGCAUCCCCCUGCACAUCAUUCUCCAGUUCUUGAGCAUUCCCUGUUAACAUUCCUGCCUGGGAAUGUGUGAGUUUGUACAGUUAAUAUCAUAGCUGAAGUGCACUGUGAGAUGAGACAGUUUAGAAAAAGGAGGAUAAAAGUCUCAUUUCAUGAAAAUGAAUCUUGUGAAACCACAUCUGUAACCUCUGAAGUGACCCAGAGUUCUCCAGGAGAGAUGGAUUCUGUGAAAUGGCACGGCUAAGACACAGAGGGGAAUCUCUCUCCUGGCUCCAGGGCGUUAAAACUCAUCCCCUGAUCUUGGUACCAUCUCAGAGAUGAUGUGAUGGGUCAAGAGCUGGCACAUAAUUUCAAGCCCCCAGUUGUGCUGGGUUUAACACAGGUUUGGUUUGGCAGGGACUGAACUGAUGCACUGGGAUGGACCCUGCGGGUGGACGUCGGUCCAGCAUCUGAGACAGUCCCUGCAGUGGUGACAGAAAACCCAAGGGAAGCAGCCAGACCUCCCCCAAAGGAGAAGGCAGACCCUGGUUCAGCUCUGUCAGUGCUGCUGAUGCUGCAGAUGGUCUGCAGGGUGGUUUUGGCAGAGCCAAGUUUGGCACAGGAGCAGCAUCACCUUCCUGUGAGGAGAGGCUGAGGGAGCUGGGGGGGGCUCAGCCUGGAGAAAAGGAGGCUCAGGGGGGACCUUCUGGCUCUGCAACUCCCUAACAGGAGGGGGGAGCCAGGGGGAUAUCAGGCUCUGCUCCCAGGGAACAAGGGACAGGAGAAGAGGACAGAGCCUCAAGCUGUGCCAGGGGAGGUUUAAGUAGGAUACCAGGAAGAAUUUCUUCACUGAAAGGGUGAUUAGAUACUGGAAUGUGCUGCCCAGGGGAGUCCCCGUCCCUGGAGGUGUCCAAGGAAAGACUGGACAUGGCACUCAGUGCUCUGGUCUAGUUGACCAGGUGGUGUUCCAUCAUAGGGUGGACUCAAUGAUCUCAGAAAUCUUUUCCAUCCUGAUUGAUUCUGUGAUUCCUUGAUUAAACCUUGGCACAACCCAUCUCUGUGAGCUGUUGCCUUAGGUCCUGCCCCCAGAGUUCCUAUUCUGGGGCAGGCAGCAGUGAAUGAGGCCAUAGUACCACGGUGCUGCUUUUCAGCAGCAGCAGAUUUGGGUGAAGUUUGGCCACAGCAGCUGUUCCAGGGCAGAGCAGGUGGAAAACACCAAACCUUGCAUGACUUGAGAAAAGAUGUUCUCACUCUGCUCACCAAGGAGCGUACCAAGUCGAAUUGUGGAAUAUCCUGAGCUGGAAGGGACCACAAAGAUCACUGAGUCCAACUCCUGGCCCUGCACAAGACACCCAACAAUCCCACCCUGUCCCUGAGAGUGCUGUCCAAACACGCCUUGAGCUCUGGAAGCCUUGGGGCUUUGAAUUGCUGAGGAGACUCUUUAUGUGAUUUGAUGAUUCCAGAUGGGUUAAAAAGGCUUUGUGCCUUUGCUUGUAGCACAGAAGCAAGUUAGGAACAAAUUCCUCCAGCUUCUCUUCCAGGCUGAAGGCAGUUUCUAGUAAUUGUCCUCCACAGAGGGAAGCAGAAGGAGUGGCUUAAUGGACUUGUCCCUUUGCCAUCUCCUGAAGGGUUUUGGUCCCACAUCAUCCAAGGUGGGCCCCUGGUCUGAUAUCACAGAAUGGUUUGGGUUGGAAGGGUCAUUUAGUCCAACCCCCUGCCAUGGGCAGGGACACCUCCCACUAUCCCAGGUUGCUCCAAGCCCUGUCCAACCUGGCCUUGAACAUUCCCAGGGAUGGGGCAGCCACAGCUUCUCUGGGCAAUGUGUGCCAGGGCCUCCCCACCCUCACAGGGAAGAAUUUCUUCCUAAAAUGUCUGAUCUAUACCUACCCCCUUUCACUUUGUUUAUCUGACAUGGAUUAAUGCCCCAGGAAGGCACAUCAAUUACACCAAAAAGUCUUCCCAUAUCACCUCAUCCCCAGCAUAAUUUAGGUGAAGAUUUGAUGGUACCAAUAAUAGCAGGAGGUUUUAAACUCCAAGCGUUGAAAAACGUGGUUUGAGGUGGGAUCAGGGAAGAGUUUUGCAGGAACUUAAGUAAAUGGUUUUAUGAAGAAAAAGAAUGACCAGUAGAGCUUUUUAGUCUUAUGUCUUGGUGCAUUUUCCAGUAUUCCAGUAAAGUUCCAGCUCAGCCCGACUCACCAGCUGAUGUCCAGUGUCUGCUGUUACUCUGGGAAGGGGGGAUUUACAGCUGGGGAGAUUUUUCUCCUGCAUUUUUUCCCAGGAGAAAAAAAAAAAGCCAAAGCAAGGCAGCUCUGUGCUGGUGAGAAUAUGAACGUGCUCAUUGACAGCUUCAUUUAGUGUUUAUAAACAUCAGGGAUCACAGGAAUGUUGUAACUUCAGGUUAGUAUUUUUAUUUUUAUAAAAAAACCUGCAGUUGAGGCACUUUGAGGCUCCUGAAACAGCCAAGAAAACAUUUGUAAGUUUGUAGGAAAUCUGUGUCACGCUUCUCAAGUUUAUAGCUGGGGGUGGGAUUAGAAGUGUCAACUUAUCUCCAGGAACUAAAACAUCCUGAUUGUAUCACAUGGAAUCAGCUUCCAAAACUCAUUCCUGCACGGAGAAACCCAGUCAAAUAAAAUUGGCCACUUUUAAAGAAGGACUUUGAAGCUUUGUGACCACUGGCAUUUGUGUCAAACCAGGGUUAUUUACAGGCUGCUGUGAAGGGUCUUAACUAAUCACUGCCAGCACUAUCCAGUUUUUCAUGCUUAGAGAGAAGAACUAUCAAAGCCUUGAGUUUUGAGUGGGGUCAAAGGGGUUUUUCACUCGGAGGCAUCAUGUUAUGAUCUCUGCUAGAGGCACAACAGAGCACUGGGGUUCAUUUUGCUUUCAAUAUGCAAAAAAAAAAAAAAAAAAGGAAUAUUCAGGAGGUGGAAGCAGAGUCUGGAGGUUAGAAACACCAUCCAGGAGUGUUGGGUUUGUGUUGGGAAAGCCAGAGCUCACCUAGAGCUCAUGGUCUCAAGGGGAUGUGAAGGACAGCAAGAUACGUUUAAAAGUCAUGUAGAUGUGGCACCUGGGAUGUGGUUUAGCACUGGGCUUGGCAGUGCUGGUUAAAUGGUUGGACUUGGUGAUCUUAGAGGGCUUUUCCAACCUAAGUGAUUCCAUGAACAUCUACUCCUGUGUUUUGGCCUCUGUGAUUAGCAAAGGUGUUAGAGACACAGAGCAACAUCAGCAGCACCAAAGGGUUGAGUCAGGGAGUGCCUGCAGGUCCAUGAGACUUGCUGGGUUCCAUCUGGAGGUGCUGAGAGGUGGCUGAUGUUAUAGCAGGGACACUCUGAAAAUCCAUGGAAAUUGGAGAAGGCCCUCAGAGAUGGGAGAAAGGCAAAUAUUACACCCAUAUUCCUCAGUCCACAAGGGCAAUCCAAGGAGCUACAGGGCAGUCAGCUCCAUCUGGACCCCUGGGGACAAAUUUCUUGGGACAAUUUUCUAGGCAUAUGCAGGGAAAGAAGGGGCUUGGGAACAGUCAGCAUGGAUUUACCAAGUGGAAAUCAGGCCUGACCCACCUGAGGAUCUUGUAGGUUAAAGUGACUGGAUUUGUGGGUGAGGGGAGGACAGUGGGUGGCAGCAACAACAACCUGGGAUGGUGGAAGGUGUCCCUGCCCAUGGCAGGGGUUGGAACAGGAUGAACUUUAAGGUCCCUUCAAACCCAAAUCCUUCUGGGAUUCUGUUCCAUGAUUUACCUUGGCUGUAGCUUUCCAAACUGUCUCCCACUGUAUCUAAGAUGGGAUGUUACAGCCAGAGAUGGAAGAACCAUUUUCCAGGAAGGAAUUGUUCCUUAUUUCCAUUCUAAACCUCUCCUGGCACAACUUGAGGCUGUUUCCUCUCAUCCUGUCCUUUGUUCCCUGGGAGCAGAGCCCGACCCCCCCCGGCUCCUCCCUCCUGUCAGGGAGCCAGCAGAUCUCCCCUGAGCCUCCUUUUCUCCAGGCUGAGCCCCCCCAGCUCCCUCAGCCGCUCCUGCUGCUCCAGCCCCUUCCCCAGCUCCGUUCCCUUCCCUGGACAAGUGAAUCCACCAACAUCCCAGGCUCUUUAAGCAGCACAACUUGUAGGCAGAGGGAAGUGACUUGACCUCGUUUGCUUGGGAUCCACAAAAUCCUUCAUCCAGUUUUGUGCCCCUCCCUCACCAAAGCAGAGGGAGUUCAUCAACAGAUUGACAGUUUGGGGUUUUUUGGGGGGGGCAAAAAGCAUUUCCCUGUAAUCUGCAUGUAUUUUCCAUAAGAUCUUAGAUGCUAUGAUAAAAAAUAAGGUAGAUGAAGUGGCUCAUCCUCUCUGUGUCAUGUCAGGAGCGGUGGAUGCGUGUGCAGGAGGCAAAGCCAGACUAGGAGCUGAGCAAAUUUACCCUUCCCGGUGCGACACGAGGGGUUUUUUCACUGCUGAGUUAAGGCUGAGAACAAGGAGCAUGUGUUCUCCCUGAGCAGGGCUGGGGCUGUUGGCAAAACUGUUACAAAACAUGUAACAAAACUACGGAGUGGGUUGAACUUCCCAGGUUUUACGUUUCUAGGAAGAGGCAGUUGAGAUUUUUUUUUCCCCCCACCAGCAACAGAUUGCAGCGAAUCCGAAUUAUGUGGCUGCCAUCUGCUUCCAAACAGGCUUGGAAAACACAGGCCAGCCCUCCCCAGCAUGGGUGAGGAGGGUGGUGGGGAGUGUUUACAAGUCUGUGUUUACGGGAUUUGGGAUUAAUGUGCUGCUUUCUUAUUUUUAGACAGAGCAAAUUUGAAUUAAACAGUGAGUUAAACACUCAGUGCCACCAGCUCUCAGCAUCGCAGUGUAAUUUAAAAAAAUGAGCUUCUGAAACCUUUCUCUACCAAAAUAUUGUGAAACCACCCCACCCAGUUUGGUAGGAUAAUCCUGGAAUGUGUAUUUUGACAUUUUUUUCUGCUUUCAGUCCAUUAUAACAGGCUUAGAUGCCACAUUCUGGGGUCUCAGUGGUGAAGCAGAAUCCCUCAAAAAAAAAAGGAAAAUUAUAGAAUCAUGGGAUGUUAAGGAGUUGGAAGAUCAUCCAGUGCCAACUCCCUCUGCCUUGGGUGGGGACACCCCCCACUAAACCAGGUUGGUCAAAGGUUUUAUCCAGCCUGGCUUUGGACAAUGCCGGGGUUGGGGCAUCCACAACCUCCCCGGGCAACCUGUGCCAGUGUCUCACCACCCUCACAGAAUAAGGUAGAGAAUAUUAGUAGAGAAUAAGGUUUUAUGGACUGUAAGGCUGGAAAACUGUGAUUUCUGGGGUAGGAUGUCCAUGUCACCAUCCCUGGAAGUAUUCAAGAAACACGAUGUGGCACUUGAGGACACGGUUUAGUGGUGAACAUGGUGUUGGUGGUGGGUCAAUGGUUGUACUUGGGGAUCCUAGAGGUCUUUUCCAAGCUGAUUCUAUGAUUUUGUGAUUCCCUGAUUCUAUGACUUAGAUGUGAGACAUUCCAGAGGCAAUAAAUCACAGGAUGACUUGAACUCGCACUGCUGCUGUCGGGACAUGUUGUGUAUGAGCUGCACAGGUACAUCUUCUGUUGUUAGUUUUAUGUGUUUAAAAAAAUCACAAUGUGAAAAAAACUGAUAUUAACAGUAAGGUAAAAUGAUAUUAACAGUUACUCCAGGUUCUGGAGUGAGCACCUAUGGGAAGACAUCAGAACAAGGUCCUUGUGCCAGGCUAUUCCUUCUGCCCCAGUCUCCUGCGUCCCUGCCAGCCCAUCGUUGUUGGGGGCUUUUGGGGUGACACUGUCCCACAAGGGGUGAGUUGUCAGGUGGUGACCCUGGUCAGUGCAGACUGGAGGUGUCACUCAGUCUGCAGAAUGCCCUGGGAAGCCAAAGGAAUAACGGGCCUGAAGUCAAGUGAUGUGACCUGUGAUGGAUCAGGAUCUCCGUGAAGGAGCAGAGUUCCUCGCCUGGUUAUUCCACUUGACUUGGCUGAUUUAACUGAUUUCACCUGAUUUCACACAGAGGGACUUGGCUUUUUUCACUCUGAGGGCCUUUUCUCAGCUGUGGGGAUGAAUCCAAGAGCUUCCCAGCAGCAGGUGGGCUGGGAGAGAGAUUUUUAUUCCAGUGAAGGUGCAGACACAGUAAAAGGAAUUUUUGGGUGGUUCAUUUAUUGGGCAUUUCCAUGUUUUCCGUGCCUGGUUUUUAGUGUCUCCUGUGAUGCUGCAGCUCCCAGGUGCUGCUCAAAAGAGAGCUUAGCAACUCAGGCACACACAGAAAGCAGCACUUGCACAAGGCACGAGGCAAGGAAACAUCUGCACUCCCUGUUUCCUUUAGUUCUUAACUGGAAAUCUUCAGCUGGAUCAUCCUUUUCACUCUAGCUCGUUCACGCCGCUGUUAGAGGAGAUGUGGGUGUAAUUUAUGCUCACAUUUACACUGCUGGGGUGGUUUAAAGUGGGAAGUGAGAAUCAGCCCUUCGGUUUUUGGUGGUUUCUUUGUGUUCUAACAAACAGAUGCACAGCUGGAUGCAGUAGCCUUUAACCAAGCCCUGGAGCAUCUCCUCAUUACUCUUAAUUCACAGCAGUGCCCGGGAGACCUGUUGGGAAUAAGUCACCUGAGGAUAAAGAACAGCAAAGCUCUCAGAGCUGCUUUGUUCUUUUAUUUGAUAAUUACGGUUUUGUUUUUCAUUAUUUAAGCUGGUUUAGUCUGUGUUGUGUCAUCCUGGGUGUGUGCACUGUUAUGGAUGGGACAGCUCAGCUGGGGAGGGAGGGAUUCCUGGAUUCCUGCUCAGAGCACACUCGGAUUUACUGAUUUGCUUGGGUGACCUUUGGACACAGAAGGGGGUUGAUAAAUCUCUGCUGACAAUCGAGGAGGCAACACCACUUCAGGAGGCAUCACCACUUGGAAUUUGCAAAUGCAAACCAGCAGCAAUUAGGGAAGAGUGACUUUGUGUAUUCCAGCUCUAGGAAUUUAUCUAAGGGAAGAUGCAUUUGGUGCGAGGUGUUGACGAGGAAGGUUAUGUUUUUGCCAGGUUCCUGGAAAGCUCUUUUUAAUAAAUUGCUGAUCUUUGGAGACCUGUAAAAAAUACCAUGGAUUGCCUUUUAUCAGCCUAUAAUGUGCUUUCAUCACUCCAGAGAAGUAUGUGAGAGUGAUACCCAGUUGGUCCCUGGAGGAAGCAGAGGAGACACUGCUAAAGGCUCCAGAUUUCUGGCAUUGGAAUGGAGCUUAAAUUUCCUUGUUAGCACAAAUAUCCCUCUAACCUGAUCACCAAAGUGCUGCUGCUCGUUUCUCACACACAGAAUUACUCUGCUGUAAUGCUACAAGUAAUUUAACUCAGUAUACUGAGUCAAAAACAACUCCUGUCUGAAAUGUUAUGAUUUAUUGCUUCUCGAGGCUCUUAAGAUGGAAAUGGCUUUCCAGGCUUGGAGCCGUAAAACAUCUAAAUAUUAUACUCUGCAUUUACUGAGAGGCAAAAUCUAUGUGGCAUUGAUGGCAUUGGGAUAAUAAAGAUGAGAUCCUGAAUGGCCAUUUUGCAAAUGUUUUCUGAGAACAACAUCAAAAAAGUAACCAGGUGUCGUAACCCUGCCUUAGAAUCACAGAAUGGUUUGGGUUGGAAGGGACCUUAAAGUUUAUCCCAUUCCAACGCCCUGCCAUGGGCAGGGACACCUUCCACUAGACCAGGUUGCUGCAAGCUCCCUCCAUCCUGGCCUUGAACAGUCCCAGGAAUGAGGAGUCCACAACCUCGCUGGGCAACUUAACUCUGGGAAAACUUCUGAAGCAGUUUGCUCAGGAAUUUGGAUUUUUAAACUCUCACCUCCUUAAUUCUCAAAUCCUGUGCAACAUGCACUGUUGCUUAAGGAAUAAAAAAAGAUUAGACAAUGAUUUCUUGGUUUAAUCUACCAUUUGAAAAAAAAAUGGUAACACUGGAGUUCUUAAAUUGUUCCUCUGCUUUCAUUACCAGUGAUGAAAUGCGGUUGGUAUGUGAUGUGUAAACCUGUGGAAUACCCACUUGGGCAGUGAGAGAAUGAAGGUCACACAACUGUCACUGGAGUGGAUUGAGUGCCAGGGAGUGGAUUGAAAUUAAAGGAAUGCUGGUUGCAUUGUUGGUGGCACAUGGACAGACACGCUCUCUCUGCUCCAGAGCAGGAGGAAUGCAACCUGUGCUUUUGCAUUUCCACUUCCCACUGACACACUCCAGCCCUGUUCCAUCUGUGCAUCAUUACCUUGGGCUGGUCCAACACUGUCCAUCUGAGUGUGUUGUUUUCAGAGACUUCUAAUGGUUGCAUCUAGUUCCUGUGACACCUCACAGAAUCAUGGAAUGCUUUGGUUGGGAAGGGACCUUAACUAUCUUCUACUUCCAAGCCCUUACCAGGGCAGGGACACCUUCCACUAUCCCAGGUUGCUCCAAGCCCCAUCCAAGCUGACUUUGGACACUCCCAGGGAUGGGGCAGCCACAGCUUCUCUGGGCAACCUGUGCCAGGGCCUCACCACCCUCACAGGGAAGAAUUCCUUCCCAAUACCCAUGUAACCCUGCCCUCUGCCACUUUGAUACCAUUCCCACUUGUCCUGUCCCUCCAGGCCUGUGUAAAAAAACCACCCACCAGUGUUUUUAUGGGUGGGGAUCUGCCAGGAUCUCCAGAGGGUUGCUGAGCUCUGAGCAAGGCUGUGUGUUCCUCAGCUCCUGGAGCAUCUCUGGGUUGGGCCCACAGCUGGUUAAGCAACUGCUGCUGGUUUAGAGGUGGCAUUUUGCCCUGUAAUCAGCAGACACAUCCUCUUCUUCCUUCUCCCCAGGUCAGAGCUGGUUUUUGACAGCUCCCAUGAAGCAACUGAGACCCUCUGUCUUGCUCUUCUCUGUACAAGAAGGUCCAUUGCAACCAUCCAUCUGCCAGCAAACCCUGUGCCUUGCCAGCCAACUCUGGGGCUCACCAAUGUGCACCUGCAUUUUUAUUUAACAUUUUAGCUUCUAUGGCCAAGUGGAGCUGAACUGGUGUUUGCCUCCAAGGCCAGUUUGUUCCCCUUCUCCUUCCAGUCACUACUUAACUGGCUCUAAAAACUGCUGACAGUUGUUUUAGGAGCUGGUUUUCGGGUCGGGCCUUUUGUAACUCUGCAGCAGGAGGAUAUUGUUAGAAACCAGAGGAAUGGAAGGGCUGGUGUUGCUCCAGGCAGGAGGAGAGGGUGCUUCACUGCUGGAGAAUCACACUUUCACUUUGAAGUGCUUCUCCUGCUCCUCCUGUGAAGGCACUCAAAGCCCCUUUGGCAGCACUCCAGCUGCCAGAGUGAGGUGUGUUAUUGGGAGCAGGGCAGGAAAACAGGAGGAGUUUGUAACAGAGGUCAUAGAAUCAUAGACCAGAAUGAUUUGGGUUGGAAGGGACCUUAAAGCUCAUCUUAUUCCAACCCCCUGCCAUGGGCAGGGACACCUUCCACUAGCCCAGAUUGCUCCAAGCCCCAUCCAAGCUGGCCUUGGACACUUCCAGGGAUGGGGCAGCCACAGCUUCUCUGGGCAACCUGUGCCAGGGCCUCCCCACCCUCACAGGGAAGAAUUCCUUCCUAAUAUCCCAUCUAAUCCCUGUCAGUUUGAAGCCAUUCCCCCUUGUCCUGUCCUUCCAUCCCUUGUCCCAAGUCCCUCUCCAGCCCUCCUGGAGCCCCUUUAGGCACUGGAAGGGGCUCUCAGGUCUCCCUGGAUCCUUCUCUUCUCCAGGUGAACACCCCCAGCUCUCCCAGCCUGGCUCCAGAGCAGAGGGGCUCCAGGCCUCUGAAGUGACUUGUCACCUAGAAACCCAGUGUGCUGGGGGAGAUAAUGAAUGGCAGAACUUUUGCCAGGUACUUUGGGAAAAUAGCAAGGAGAUUAUAGAGGGGAGUAUUCCCACAAUGAACACGCUGUGGCAGGGAUUUAUUUUUUCCCACUAAGGUGUAAAAGCAGGAGGUGUGUGAGCACUGAUUACUGAGAGGAGCGAGUUUCAAACACUCCCCUAAUUUAGCACCUCCUGAAAUAGCUCCGAGCCCCUUAAAUGAACGACAUUGCUGAGAGUCUUUCUGUCUGAGCACACCGGGAAAGCAGUGGAUUCUCCUGUUUGCAGGGAGACUGAAGAGCCUGAACAAAGGAGGGCAGUUACCUGCUCAGCAGCGAACAAAAAUACCUCCCAGCCCACAAGGAGUAGCAGUGAAUGGUGUGCUGGGAAAAGAGGGCAAGUGCUCCUGCUCUGUGGUCCCCAGCCCUGUCCUCACGAGGUCACGUCAGGCGAAAGCUGCCAGUGCAUGGAGGCAGCUCAGGUACAGCUUUUUAGAAGGGCACAGAGUGAAAAAUGAGCAAGAAGAAGGAUUAACUUGGCUCUGCCUGACAAGCAGGACCAGAGCCCUCACUGGGGGGAGCACGGAGGAAGGUUGGGUUUAAAUUUUGGCAACCACAGAAAGGUGAAGCAGCAUCUGGCUUGUCUUUUUUGGCACUUUCAGCUCAAACCCAGCGUGCCUGAGUGUGACCUCGCUCCUUAUCCUGCACCACACGGGCUCUGUGUGUGUUCUGAUGGGAUCUUUCACCGCAUCCCAUGCAAAACUCGGUUGAAUAUUCCGAGAUCCUGGACCGCUUCCAUCCCUUGGCAUCGUAGUGUUUCAGCAAGCACCAAUUUUCUUGUUUUUCCCCCGUGCAAUUGGAGAGUCGAAAUCUGUGAUGAAUAUAUUAACGUUCAUUGAAUUACAGAACAGACAUUUAGCAUUUUUCCUGAAGGAUCCUAAAAUGCUUUACAGGCACUUUAAUGUAUCACCACCCAAAUGCAGCCGCUUUUCAUGCUUAGAUUUAAUUCAAGAUGGAGGGAGAGAAUUUGCUCUGUUAUGUCACAGAAUCACAGAACAGUUUGGUUUGGAAGGGACCCUAAAGCUCAUCUCAUUCCAAACCCCUGCUGUGGGCAGGGAACUUUCCACUAAACCAGGUUGCUCCAAGCCUCAUCCAGCCUGGCCUUGAACACUUCCAGGGAUAUCCCAAAGUUUCUUUACAGGAGGACAGAUCGAUCCAGCUGCAUCAUUGGGAUUUGGAGGUGCAAGACAAGAUCCGUGGCUCUUUAUGAACCAGCUGGAUGCCCCAUCAUGUGUUGCUGGGAGUUUCCAUCCUCCUUUUCUCCUGAAAUGAAAAACCCUCCAAAUAUUCAGGGUGAAAGCCAAUAAAUUAUUCAUCUAUUCUUA